CGCUCUUUGGGUGGCCGCGGCCGCUUAAUAGAGGUGGCCGUUUAAUAGAGGGAUAGUUUAUAGUAUUUGUAUUACAAAAAUGUCGGGACUUCGAUAUGUGGCCGUUUAAUAGAGGGUGGCCGCUUAAUGGAGGGCCGCUUAAUAGAGGUUCGGCUGUAUCAGCAUGGUUUUGUGGUACUAUCAGUACAAACUACUGUGAUGUUCACCAUCUGCAUUAUUUUGCAUUCUAUUUAAAUUUAGCUAUAUUCUAUUUCAUUUCCUAUAGGUCUUGUGCCAUUGUUCGGUAUUGAUGUCUGGGAGCAUGCGUAUUACCUUCAAUAUAAGAACGUGAAACCUGAUUACGUCAAGUCAAUUUACAAUGUCGCAAACUGGAAUGACGUCGGUGAACGAUAUCAGCAAGCCGUUGGCAAGGCAUGAAUUUUCAGAUAACCUAACUGUGUUGCUAGACGCAACUUGCUUGAUGGAUUUUGUGUGUAUCGUUCCCUGUAGCUUGUAGAGUACAAUUAUUAUAUUAAAUUGCAUAUUAUCCAAAGAGAAUAUAUAAAUUUAAAUUACAACUUAAUAGUAGCGCGACACGCGCGAAAUAUUGGAGAUGAAAAUUUGGUCGGGAUUUGGGAUAGUAAUUGGCUUAAAGCUUUUGUGGUAUACUAUUCUUGCCAAAAUUUG